rnacentral:lncRNA from 1 species
AUGUUACCAUUCCGGUUCGCAAUUCGGUCUGUUCCGUUUGUAAUCGGAAGGCACUUUGUUUCAUGGCAGAAAGUGGCUUCUGUUCCUCAGCUGCAGGGGUCGGCCUGUUGGCUGGUGGAGACCAGAGAACCUCUCUUCUCAUCUGUCUUCCACCCUUUCCCUCUGGUCUCCAUCCUCUACUCCUCCUUUCCCCUCCUUCCCCUCUGGUUUCCAUACUCCUCCUCUCUACUCAUUCCCCUCUGGUCUCCAUCCUCUACUCCUCCUCUCCCCUCCUUCCCCUCUGGUCUCCAUACUCCUCCUCUCCACUCCACUCCUUCCCCUCUGGUCUCCAUACUCCUCCUCUCCACUCCUUCCCCUCUGGUCUCCAUAUUCCUCCUCUCCACUCCUUCCCUUCUGGUCUCCAUCCUUUACUCCUCCUCUCCACCCCUUCCCCUCUGGUCUCCAUCCUCUUCUCCUCCUCUCCACUGCUUCCAAUCUGGUCUCCAUACUCCUCCUCUACACUCCUUCCCCUCUGGUCUCCAUAUUCCUCCUCUCCACCACUCCUUCCCCUCUGGUCUCCAUAUUCCUCCUCUCCACUCCUUCCCCUCUGGUCUAAAUCAUCUACUCCUCCUCUCCACUCCUUCCUAUCUGCUCUCCAUAUUCCUCCUCUCCACUCCUUCCCCUCUGGUCUCUAUCCUCUACUCCUCCUCUUCAUUCCUUCCCCUCUGGUCUCCAUCCUCUACUCCUCCUCUCCACUCCUUCCCCUCUGGUCUAAAUCAUCUACUCCUCCUCUCCACUCCUUCCUAUCUGCUCUCCAUACUCCUCCUCUCCACUCCUUCCCCUCUGGUCACUAUCCUCUACUCCUCCUCUCCACUCCUUCCCCUCUGGUCUCCAUAUUCCUCCUCUCCACUCCUUCCCCUCUGGUCUCCAUCCUCUACUCCUCCUCUCCAAUGCUUCCCCUCUGGUCUCCAUACUCCUCCUCCUCCCCCUCUGGUCUCCAUAUUCCUCCUCUCCACUCCUUCGCUUCUGGUCUCCAUACUCCUCCUCCUCUCCACCCCUUCCCCUCUGGUCUCCAUCCUCUUCUCCUCCUCUCCACUGCUUCCCCUCUGGUCUCCAUAUUCCUCCUCUCCACUCCUUCCCCUCUGGUCUCCAUAUUCCUCCUCUUCACCCCUUCCCCUCUGGUCUCCAUCCUCUACUCCUCCUCUCCACUCCUUCCCUUCUGGUCUCAAUCCUCUACUCCUCCUCUCCAACCCUUCCCUUCUGGUCUCAAUCCUCUACUCCUCCUCUCCACUCCUUCCCCUCUGGUCUCCAUAUUCCUCCUCUCCACUCCUUCCCUUCUGGUCUCAAUCCUCUACUCCUCCUCAACACUCCUUCGACUCUGGUCUCAAUCAUCUACUCCUCCUCUCCACUCCUUCCCCUCUGGUCUCCAUAUUCAUCCUCUCCACCCCUUCCCCUCUGGUCUCCAUAUUCCUCCUCAACACUCCUUCCCCUCUGGCCUCAAUCCUCUACUCCUCCUCAACACUCCUUCGACUCUGGUCUCAAUCCUCUACUCCUCCUCAACACUCCUUCCCUUCUGGUUUCAAGCCUCUACUCCUCCUCAACACUCCUUCCCUUCUGGUCUCAAUCCUCUACUCCUCAUCAACAGUCCUUCGACUCUGGUCUCAAUCCUCUACUCAUCCUCAACACUCCUUUGACUCUGGUCUCAAUCCUCUACUCCUCCUCUCCACUCCUUCCCCUCUGGUCUCCAUCCUCUACUCCUGCUCUCCACUCCUUCCCCUCUGGUCUCCAUACUCCUCCUCUCCACUCCUUCCCCUCUGGUCUCCUUAUUCCUCCUCUUCACCCCUUGUCUCCAUCCUCUACUCCUCCUCUCCACUCCUUCCCCUCUGGUCUCUAUCCUCAACUUUUCUCAUCCACUAUGCCACUGCCUUCCACAUUGCCUUGGACAUCAGUCAGUCUGACCUACCCUUCUUCAACUCUCUCAACUACACAUCUCCUCCUCUCUGCCCCACAUAUCUUGGGCAUGCCUUCCUGGUCUCAGAUACCUUGGACUAG